rnacentral:rRNA from 1 species
AAAACUCUAAGCGGUGGAUCACUCGGCUCAUGGGUCGAUGAAGAACGCAGCAAACUGUGCGUCAUCGUGUGAACUGCAGGACACAUGAACAUCGACAUUUUGAACGCAUAUCGCAGUCCAUGCUGUUAUGUACUUUAAUUAAUUUUAUAGUGCUGCUUGGACUACAUAUGGUUGAGGGUUGUAAGACUAUGCUAAUUAAGUUGCUUAUAAAUUUUUAUAAGCAUAUGGUAUAUUAUUGGAUAAAUAUAAUAAUUUUUAUUCAUAAUAUUAAAAAAUAAAUGAAAAACAUUAUCUCACAUUUGAAUGUGAAAAACGAAGAGAAAUAUUUUCUUUUUCAAUCAAAUAAUACUGAGAAAUGUCUAGCAUAAAAAAAUUGAAAUAUUUUUCAUCUAGAAUUGUCUCUUAUUAAUGAUUCGGAAAUAGAAAAAUCUUGGUUAUGUUAUUAUUCUUCGUUGGUUCGUUAAAAAUGGAUAAAUAAAAACUUUGCAUACAAGAAUUAAUAAAAAUGUUAUAACGAAUUUAAUUAAAUGUUUUAUCAUUAUAUAUAAAGAAUUUAUGGCAAGAUAAAGUUAUAUACAACCUCAACUCAUAUGGGACUACCCCCUGAAUUUAAGCAUAUUAAUUAGGGGAGGAAAAGAAACUAACAAGGAUUUUCUUAGUAGCGGCGAGCGAAAAGAAAACAGUUCAGCACUAAGUCACUUUGUCUAUAUGGCAAAUGUGAGAUGCAGUGUAUGGAGCGUCAAUAUUCUAGUAUGAGAAAUUAACGAUUUAAGUCCUUCUUAAAUGAGGCCAUUUACCCAUAGAGGGUGCCAGGCCCGUAUAACGUUAAUGAUUACUAGAUGAUGUUUCCAAAGAGUCGUGUUGCUUGAUAGUGCAGCACUAAGUGGGUGGUAAACUCCAUCUAAAACUAAAUAUAACCAUGAGACCGAUAGUAAACAAGUACCGUGAGGGAAAGUUGAAAAGAACUCUGAAUAGAGAGUUAAACAGUACGUGAAACUGCUUAGAGGUUAAGCCCGAUGAACCUGAAUAUCCGUUAUGGAAAAUUCAUCAUUAAAAUUGUAAUAUUUAAAUAAUAUUAUGAGAAUAGUGUGCAUUUUUUCCAUAUAAGGACAUUGUAAUCUAUUAGCAUAUACCAAAUUUAUCAUAAAAUAUAACUUAUAGUUUAUUCCAAUUAAAUUGCUUGCAUUUUAACACAGAAUAAAUGUUAUUAAUUUGAUAAAGUGCUGAUAGAUUUAUAUGAUUACAGUGCGUUAAUUUUUCGGAAUUAUAUAAUGGCAUAAUUAUCAUUGAUUUUUGUGUUUAUUAUAUGCACUUGUAUGAUUAACAAUGCGAAAGAUUCAGGAUACCUUCGGGACCCGUCUUGAAACACGGACCAAGGAGUCUAACAUAUGUGCAAGUUAUUGGGAUAUAAACCUAAUAGCGUAAUUAACUUGACUAAUAAUGGGAUUAGUUUUUUAGCUAUUUAUAGCUAAUUAACACAAUCCCGGGGCGUUCUAUAUAGUUAUGUAUAAUGUAUAUUUAUAUUAUUUAUGCCUCUAACUGGAACGUACCUUGAGCAUAUAUGCUGUGACCCGAAAGAUGGUGAACUAUACUUGAUCAGGUUGAAGUCAGGGGAAACCCUGAUGGAAGACCGAAACAGUUCUGACGUGCAAAUCGAUUGUCAGAAUUGAGUAUAGGGGCGAAAGACCAAUCGAACCAUCUAGUAGCUGGUUCCUUCCGAAGUUUCCCUCAGGAUAGCUGGUGCAUUUUAAUAUUAUAUAAAAUAAUCUUAUCUGGUAAAGCGAAUGAUUAGAGGCCUUAGGGUCGAAACGAUCUUAACCUAUUCUCAAACUUUAAAUGGGUAAGAACCUUAACUUUCUUGAUAUGAAGUUCAAGGUUAUGAUAUAAUGUGCCCAGUGGGCCACUUUUGGUAAGCAGAACUGGCGCUGUGGGAUGAACCAAACGUAAUGUUACGGUGCCCAAAUUAACAACUCAUGCAGAUACCAUGAAAGGCGUUGGUUGCUUAAAACAGCAGGACGGUGAUCAUGGAAGUCGAAAUCCGCUAAGGAGUGUGUAACAACUCACCUGCCGAAGCAACUAGCCCUUAAAAUGGAUGGCGCUUAAGUUGUAUACCUAUACAUUACCGCUAAAGUAGAUGAUUUAUAUUACUUGUGAUAUAAAUUUUGAAACUUUAGUGAGUAGGAAGGUACAAUGGUAUGCGUAGAAGUGUUUGGCGUAAGCCUGCAUGGAGCUGCCAUUGGUACAGAUCUUGGUGGUAGUAGCAAAUAAUCGAAUGAGACCUUGGAGGACUGAAGUGGAGAAGGGUUUCGUGUGAACAGUGGUUGAUCACGAGUUAGUCGGUCCUAAGUUCAAGGCGAAAGCCGAAAAUUUUCAAGUAAAACAAAAAUGCCUAACUAUAUAAACAAAGCGAAUUAUAAUACACUUGAAUAAUUUUGAACGAAAGGGAAUACGGUUCCAAUUCCGUAACCUGUUGAGUAUCCGUUUGUUAUUAAAUAUGGGCCUCGUGCUCAUCCUGGCAACAGGAACGACCAUAAAGAAGCCGUCGAGAGAUAUCGGAAGAGUUUUCUUUUCUGUUUUAUAGCCGUACUACCAUGGAAGUCUUUCGCAGAGAGAUAUGGUAGAUGGGCUAGAAGAGCAUGACAUAUACUGUUGUGUCGAUAUUUUCUCCUCGGACCUUGAAAAUUUAUGGUGGGGACACGCAAACUUCUCAACAGGCCGUACCAAUAUCCGCAGCUGGUCUCCAAGGUGAAGAGUCUCUAGUCGAUAGAAUAAUGUAGGUAAGGGAAGUCGGCAAAUUAGAUCCGUAACUUCGGGAUAAGGAUUGGCUCUGAAGAUUGAGAUAGUCGGGCUUGAUUGGGAAACAAUAACAUGGUUUAUGUGCUCGUUCUGGGUAAAUAGAGUUUCUAGCAUUUAUGUUAGUUACUUGUUCCCCGGAUAGUUUAGUUACGUAGCCAAUUGUGGAACUUUCUUGCUAAAAUUUUUAAGAAUACUAUUUGGGUUAAACCAAUUAGUUCUUAUUAAUUAUAACGAUUAUCAAUUAACAAUCAAUUCAGAACUGGCACGGACUUGGGGAAUCCGACUGUCUAAUUAAAACAAAGCAUUGUGAUGGCCCUAGCGGGUGUUGACACAAUGUGAUUUCUGCCCAGUGCUCUGAAUGUCAAAGUGAAGAAAUUCAAGUAAGCGCGGGUCAACGGCGGGAGUAACUAUGACUCUCUUAAGGCCUCGUCAUCUAAUUAGUGACGCGCAUGAAUGGAUUAACGACGGACGUGUUUUCGUUGCGCUCGUGGACAUAGUGCGAAGAACUUUGUUUUCCGUAUUUGGAAGUAUACGAAUAAAUAAUUUAAUGUUCCGUGGAAGUGGUGCGCAAAUUUUCGCGAAUUAAAAACAAGCGGUUUGGAAGUAAUUGACAAUAAAUUAUUGGAAAUUUUCCACUCCGCACGUGUUGAGCGGCGAGCUUGCGGGUGAGCUUUUCGAACAGCUGAGAGAAGCUUAUUGGUGGUAGUCACCGCUAAGGAUUGUGUCUUGGGACAGCUUAGUGCACUCUACCAAUAGGUGGAGCUAUCACCAUAGCAACUAGCCCGUGUCAGCGAGCAUACGAUUGCUGGACUCGUCAAAAGGAGGAGCCACCAUCGGAGCAACGCCGAUGGAGAGCGACAGCAGUGUGAGUGCCUUGAGCGGAAGCAGUGCCUCAAAGGUGUCAAGACGAGGCAGGCGUAGAGGCCAUCUGGCCUCCAAGAGCUCGGCGCCAACGCAGGCGAAGCUGGUUGCCCUGGCCUCGAAUGGAGUGCCAGAACCCGUUGGUGUGCUGGAGGAGGCGUUUUCAUCGCUGGAGGAUGCCCGGGCGGCUACGUCAAGCGCUGCCAACGAUGCUGCCCCCCCCGC